GUCUCAGUAAAAGCCGAAUUAAGGUGAAACCGCCGAAUGGCUCAAUAUAUCAGUUUUGGUUCCUUAGAUCGUACACGGUUACUUGGAUAACUGUGGCAAUUCUAGAGCURAUACAUGCAAACGAGGUUCUGACCGGUAACGGAAGGAAUGCUUUUAUUAGAUCAAAAACCAAUCGGCGGSGGGRUUCGCGCCCCGUCCGUCGCCAUUCGAGAUGACUCUAGAUAACUUUGAGCUGAUCGCACGGUCUAGCACCGGCGACGCAUCUUUCAAAUGUCUGCCUUAUCAACUGUCGAUGGUAGUUUAUGCGACUACCAUGGUUGUCACGGGUAACGGGGAAUCAGGGUUCGAUUCCGGAGAGGGAGCCUGAGAAACGGCUACCACAUCCACGGAAGGCAGCAGGCGCGCAAAUUACCCACUCCCGGCRCGGGGAGGUAGUGACGAAAAAUAACGAUACGGGACUCGKCCGAGGCCUCGUGAUCGGAAUGAUUACACUUUAAAUCCUUUAACGAGGAUCCAUUGGAGGGCAAGUCUGGUGCCAGCAGCCGCGGUAAUUCCAGCUCCAAUAGCAUAUACUAAAGUUGUUGCGGUUAAAAAGCUCGUAGUUGAAAUUGUGUCCUGCGGUGUCGGUCUACCGAAUGCGGUACGACAGGCACGUCUGCGGGGCUUCUCGCCGGUGCGUCCACCGCCGGCGUGUGUCGGUCGGCCUCACGGUCGGCCGCGCACCGAGGCGGGCCGUCGCGGCUGUUUACUUUGAACAAAUUAGAGUGCUCAAAGCGGGCUAACACUUGCCUGAAUAUUGUACGCAUGGAAUAAUAGAAUAGGACCUCGGUUCUGUUUUGUUGGCUUUCUGAUACCAGAGGUAAUGAUUAAUAGGGACGACUGGGGGCAUUCGUAUUGAGACGUUAGAGGUGAAAUUCUUGGAUCGUCGCAAGACGGACUAAAGCGAAAGCAUUUGCCAAAGGUGUUUUCAUUAAUCAAGAACGAAAGUAAAAGGUUCGAAGGCGAUUAGAUACCGCUGUAGUUCUAACCAUAAAUGAUGCCCGCCAGCGAUCCGCCG
rnacentral:rRNA from 1 species